rnacentral:rRNA from 1 species
UGGGGAAUAUUGGACAAUGGGCGAAAGCCUGAUCCAGCAAUGCCGCGUGAGUGAUGAAGGCCUUAGGGUUGUAAAGCUCUUUUACCCGGGAAGAUAAUGACUGUACCGGGAGAAUAAGCUCCGGCUAACUCCGUGCCAGCAGCCGCGGUAAUACGGAGGGAGCUAGCGUUGUUCGGAAUUACUGGGCGUAAAGCGCACGUAGGCGGCUUUGUAAGUUAGAGGUGAAAGCCUGGGGCUCAACUCCAGAAUUGCCUUUAAGACUGCAUCGCUUGAAUCAUGGAGAGGCGAGUGGAAUUCCGAGUGUAGAGGUGAAAUUCGUAGAUAUUCGGAAGAACACCAGUGGCGAAGGCGGCUCGCUGGACAUGUAUUGACGCUGAGGUGCGAAAGCGUGGGGAGCAAACA